rnacentral:tRNA from 1 species
GCCCCCGUAGUCAAAUGGAUAUGACACGACGCUCCGGACGUCGAGGUCGAGGUUCGAUCCCUCGCGGGGGUACCA